rnacentral:rRNA from 1 species
UACGGAGGGGGCGAGCGUUAUUCGGAAUUAUUGGGCGUAAAGGGCGCGUAGGCGGCCCGGUAAGUCAAAGGUGAAAUCCCUCGGCUCAACUGAGGAACUGCCUUUGAAACUGUCGGGCUUGAGGCCGGGAGGGGGUAGCGGAAUUCCCAGUGUAGCGGUGAGAUGCGUAGAUACUGGGAGGAACACCAGUGGCGAAGGCGGCUACCUGGACCGGUUCUGACGCUGAUGCGCGAAAGCGUGGGUAGCAAACAGG